rnacentral:rRNA from 1 species
UUUAUUUGAUAGCACCUUACUACAUGGAUAACUGUGGUAAUUCUAGAGCUAAAACAUGCUAAAAAUCCCGACUUCGGAAGGGAUGUGUUUAUUAGAUUAAAAACCAAUGCCCUUCGGGGCUCCUUGGUGAUUCAUGAUAACCGCUCGAAUCGCACGGCCUUGCGCCGGCGAUGGUUCAUUCAAAUUUCUUCCCUAUCAACUUUCGAUGCGAAGGUCUUGUCUUCGCAUGGUUACAACGGGUAACGGAGGGUUAGGGCUCGACCCCGGAGAAGGAGCCUGAGAAACGGCUACUACAUCCAAGGAAGGCAGCAGGCGCGCAAAUUACCCAAUCCCGACACGGGGAGGUAGUGACAAUAAAUACUGAUACAGGGCUCUUUUGGGUCUUGUAAUCGGAAUGAGUACAAUUUAAAUCCCUUAACGAGGAACAAUUGGAGGCAAGUCUGUGCCAGCACCGCGGUAUUCCAGCUCCAAUAGCGUAUAUUAAAGUUGUUGUGGUUAAAAAGCUCGUAGUUGAACCUUGGGCCUGGCUGGCCGGUCCCCCUCACCGGGUGCACUGGUCCGGCCGGGCCUUUCCCUCUGUGGAACCGCAUGCCCUUCACUGGGUGUGCCGGGGAAACAGGACUUUUACUUUGAAAAAAUUAGAGUGCUCCAGGCAGGCCUAUGCUCGAAUACAUUAGCAUGGAAUAAUGGAAUAGGACGUGUGGUUCUAUUUUGUUGGUUUCUAGGACCGCCGUAAUGAUUAAUAGGGACAGUCGGGGGCAUCAGUAUUCAAUUGUCAGAGGUGAAAUUCUUGGAUCUAUUGAAGACUAACUACUGCGAAAGCAUUUGCCAAGGAUGUUUUCAUUGAUAAGGAACGAAAGUUAGGGGAUCGAAGACGAUCAGAUACCGUCGUAGUCUUAACUAUAAACUAUGCCGACUAGGGAUCGGACGGUGUUUAUACUUGACCCGUUCGGCACCUUUCGAGAAAUCAAAGUGCUUGGGCUCCA